UGGCUCAGACAGUAAAGCGUCUGCCUACAAUGUGGAAGACCCAGGUUCAAUUCCUGG
rnacentral:tRNA from 1 species